GAUGAACGCUGGCGGCGUGCCUAAUACAUGCAAGUCGAGCGAACAGAUGAGGAGCUUGCUCCUCUGACGUUAGCGGCGGACGGGUGAGUAACACGUGGAUAACCUACCUAUAAGACUGGGAUAACUUCGGGAAACCGGAGCUAAUACCGGAUAAUAUAUUGAACCGCAUGGUUCAAUAGUGAAAGACGGUUUUGCUGUCACUUAUAGAUGGAUCCGCGCCGCAUUAGCUAGUUGGUAAGGUAACGGCUUACCAAGGCAACGAUGCGUAGCCGACCUGAGAGGGUGAUCAGCCACACUGGAACUGAGACACGGUCCAGACUCCUACGGGAGUCAGCAGUAGGGAAUCUUCCGCAAUGGGCGAAAGCCUGACGGAGCAACGCCGCGUGAGUGAUGAAGGUCUUCGGAUCGUAAAACUCUGUUAUUAGGGAAGAACAAAUGUGUAAGUAACUAUGCACGUCUUGACGGUACCUAAUCAGAAAGCCACGGCUAACUACGUG
rnacentral:rRNA from 1 species